rnacentral:rRNA from 1 species
UGGGGGAUAUUGCACAAUGGGCGAAAGCCUGAUGCAGCGACGCUGCGUGGGGGAUGAAGGCCUUCGGGUUGUAAACUUCUUUUGCUCUGAACAAGGCAUGCCUUUGGGGUGUGCUGAGCGUAGGGGGUGAUCAGCGCCGGCUAACUACGUGCCAGCAGCCCCGGUAAUACGUAGGGCGCGAGCGUUGUCCGGAAUUAUUGGGCGUAAAGGGCUUGUAGGUGGCUGGUUGCGUCUGUCGUGAAAGCUCAUGGCUUAACUGUGGGUUUGCGGUGGGUACGGGCUGGCUUGAGUGCAGUAGGGGAGGCUGGAAUUCCUGGUGUAGCGGUGGAAUGCGCAGAUAUCAGGGGAAAUACCGGUGGCGAAGGCGGGUCUCUGGGCUGUUACUGACGCUGAGGAGCGAAAGCGUGGGGAGCGAACAGG